UGUCUUUGCGUCUGUCCUUCUCUCCACCUGGGCAACUUACUACAUGAUGCUUUCUUUGCCUGGAUAACUCCCUCUCCAGGCCUCUGAUCAGAUCACACUGGCACAGGGGCAGUUUGGGCCUCCCAAGUUAACCUAGCCCUGUUAAUCUUUUACGACAAACAUUAUAUUUUAACUCCGUGUAUGUGUCUUUCCCUGGAAGAUCCGAGCACAGCUGAGUUCAUGACUUUUUUGCUCAGUCAUGUACUAUACAUUCCGCAUCUAGCACUGAGGAAGGGGAGAGAGAGAGUUCUAGAAGGCCUCACACAAAGCAUUAGAAUAUCCACACAGGAAAAAAAAAAAAAAAACAAGUUGGCAAAGAGGAAGGCUGGAAGAUAUUCCCUCCCCACCCACUGAGGCCAGCCAGGCCCAGAGAUAACUCCAGCGUCCAAGUGUGACUGUGAAUCUUUGUGAUACUAAAACACACACCUGAGGGUGGAGAUUUAAAUGGAGACACACAACGCAUGAAGUUGUAUUGAAGUUGUAUGAAGAACUACGUGUAACAAAGCAUGUGAAGAAAAGUCUGCGAUAUGUAAACGAGUUCCCAAAGCCCACGCUAAGGUAUGAACGUGUACCGUGUGCAUGCCUGCUACACACCAGGGUCAGAAGAGGACCUCGAAAGAACCACCAUUUGGGUGCCGGGAAUUGAACUUGGGUCCUCUGCAAAAGCAACAAGUGAUCCUACAAACUGAGUUACCUUCUCCCCAGCCCCAAGACAGCAGUGCUUUAAUACUGCAAGACAGCGACACUGUGGAGGGCCCUGUGAGCCUGGACUCACAGAGCCCCAACCCUGCGACUUUCUAGCUGGGUAGCCUGGGAGCAUAAACAACUUAACUUGUCUAUGACUCACUUAACUCAUCUGAAAAAUGGGAAUACCAACACCUACUUUCACGGUUGCUGUGAUCACUGAGUGGGCUAAUGGUGAUCAAGGGGUAAGGAAACACGUGGUUGAUAUAAAGUAGAGAGAAAGGAUGACGAAGUUUUACCAUUGUUGUCAAAAGUAUCUUCUCUGGGUUCGCCUCCCCUCUGCCCUCUUACCUGGUGGUGUUUGGCAGUAUUAAACAGACAGAAAUAAAACUGGAGGAAAUAAGGGA